AUGAACGCGGGCGGCGUGCCUAAUACAUGCAAGUCGAGCGAACGGACGAGAAGCUUGCUUCUCUGAUGUUAGCGGCGGACGGGUGAGUAACACGUGGAUAACCUACCUAUAAGACUGGGAUAACUUCGGGAAACCGGAGCUAAUACCGGAUAAUAUUUUGAACCGCAUGGUUCAAAAGUGAAAGACGGUCUUGCUGUCACUUAUAGAUGGAUCCGCGCUGCAUUAGCUAGUUGGUAAGGUAACGGCUUACCAAGGCAACGAUGCAUAGCCGACCUGAGAGGGUGAUCGGCCACACUGGAACUGAGACACGGUCCAGACUCCUACGGGAGGCAGCAGUAGGGAAUCUUCCGCAAUGGGCGAAAGCCUGACGGAGCAACGCCGCGUGAGUGAUGAAGGUCUUCGGAUCGUAAAACUCUGUUAUUAGGGAAGAACAUAUGUGUAAGUAACUGUGCACAUCUUGACGGUACCUAAUCAGAAAGCCACGGCUAACUACGUGCCAGCAGCCGCGGUAAUACGUAGGUGGCAAGCGUUAUCCGGAAUUAUUGGGCGUAAAGCGCGCGUAGGCGGUUUUUUAAGUCUGAUGUGAAAGCCCACGGCUCAACCGUGGAGGGUCAUUGGAAACUGGAAAACUUGAGUGCAGAAGAGGAAAGUGGAAUUCCAUGUGUAGCGGUGAAAUGCGCAGAGAUAUGGAGGAACACCAGUGGCGAAGGCGACUUUCUGGUCUGUAACUGACGCUGAUGUGCGAAAGCGUGGGGAUCAAACAGGAUUAGAUACCCUGGUAGUCCACGCCGUAAACGAUGAGUGCUAAGUGUUAGGGGGUUUCCGCCCCUUAGUGCUGCAGCUAACGCAUUAAGCACUCCGCCUGGGGAGUACGACCGCAAGGUUGAAACUCAAAGGAAUUGACGGGGACCCGCACAAGCGGUGGAGCAUGUGGUUUAAUUCGAAGCAACGCGAAGAACCUUACCAAAUCUUGACAUCCUUUGACAACUCUAGAGAUAGAGCUUUCCCCUUCGGGGGACAAAGUGACAGGUGGUGCAUGGUUGUCGUCAGCUCGUGUCGUGAGAUGUUGGGUUAAGUCCCGCAACGAGCGCAACCCUUAAGCUUAGUUGCCAUCAUUAAGUUGGGCACUCUAAGUUGACUGCCGGUGACAAACCGGAGGAAGGUGGGGAUGACGUCAAAUCAUCAUGCCCCUUAUGAUUUGGGCUACACACGUGCUACAAUGGACAAUACAAAGGGCAGCGAAACCGCGAGGUCAAGCAAAUCCCAUAAAGUUGUUCUCAGUUCGGAUUGUAGUCUGCAACUCGACUACAUGAAGCUGGAAUCGCUAGUAAUCGUAGAUCAGCAUGCUACGGUGAAUACGUUCCCGGGUCUUGUACACACCGCCCGUCACACCACGAGAGUUUGUAACACCCGAAGCCGGUGGAGUAACCUUUUAGGAGCUAGCCGUCGAAGGUGGGACAAAUGAUUGGGGUGAAGUCGUAACAAGGUAGCCGUAUCGGAAGGUGCGGCUG
rnacentral:rRNA from 1 species